rnacentral:lncRNA from 1 species
CGUUCUUUUUCCUCUCGCGGUCCCCAGGAGCCCAGGCACCCCUCGACGCCGCUGCCGGCGGAACCGGGAACCCUCCCCGGGGCUCCCUGCGGGCCCGAAGCCGCCUUCCCGAGGCGGCGGAGUUGGGCAGCUCCGGGCCCCGCGCCGCCCCGCGCCGCCCCGCGGAGCCGGAGUUUCUCUCCGGAGUCUGGACACAGCUCUCCGCUUCGUCGCCGCGCACUGGACCCCGGUAGCGUGGAGCCUGCCCGGGAAGCUGGGCUGCGCCGGCCUGGGGCGAAGGUCCAAGGGGCGCGGGGGCCGGGACGCGGGGCUGUGGCGACGACCGGCCCUCUGCGAACGCUCAGGCCGGCGGGUCCGGGGCCACAGGCUGGGAGUGGAGCUGGCGGCCACUGGGGAGUAGAGAGGACGCCCAGGAACAGGUGCACCAGGGUCCCGGCGGCUGGGCCGAGGGUCGCAAGCAGAGGGGACCGGCGGCUGCCAGCAAGUCCCAAGCAGAUGCCUCCGGCGGGGCAGCCGCAUUUUACAGCGCCCAUUCCGCGUACAUCGAGUAUCCAAAACGAGUAAAAUCGGUUUAUACGUUGGAAUGUAGCUUAUGAUUCCAAAAUCUCAUCUCCAGGCUGCCUAGAUCACACGGCCCCGUUUCAUUCAUUUUUACUGAAUAACGGUCGUUGGACAAUUUAGAGAAGCAGCAGAAACCACGAGAAAAACAGUGGAGUCAAACGGCGGUAAGGACCGACAAGGCUGGCGGGGACAUUGAGCAAACGGCGGCUUCUGAGUUGGCACCUGUCCUUCACCACGUUGUGUGGGAAGUGUGGGGAGUCGGGAUUCCCACUCCUCCCCAGCCUUCCGGAAAAAUGCUCGGAAAUUUCCUUCCACAUUGACACCUGAUUACAGUCUAAAUAGUAACCUUAUUCUGAUUGUUAAUGUAACCCUCUCGUAAUCUCUACAAAAAUACUUUAGUUUUUCUAGCUGUGUUUUCAUGUAAUCACUGAAAUUAUUUUUAAUUGGUUUUAAGCAUUCAUUGAUUCCAUUUACACCACCUGCAAAAAAGUUACAUAGGUGAUCGCUAACAAUACUAGAAUUCGCCCCAUCCAAAGGAAACAUUAGAGUAGAAAAAGAAAAAGGAUUUGAGAAUCCAGUAGGAAAUUCAGUUAAUCAUUCCUUCCCUGUUACUCAACUACCUUAACAUUGUCAGGUUUACCUGAACAUAAACUUCAUUUUCUUAAUUGUUCUUAGAACGAAGGGAUAUGUUUAUUGAAAUCAGUAAUUAAGAAUAUUUUGGGACAGUUAUGAUUUACUUAGCCAGUGAAGCAGUUUCUAUUCCCAAAUCCAGGCAAAGAGAACAAUAAGAUUAAACGUAACCUAAGAGAUUUCCUUUUUGUCAAAUAAUGUGAUUUUGCUAUGUAUAGAGGAGAUGUCUAUAUGUAAGGGCAUAUUUAUGACCAGUAGUUCCUAAAAUUAAGGGGACUAUUAUUGUGUUACUCAAGGUAUCAGUUGUAUAGGAUACAUUAUGUCAUAUUUCAAACAAUGUUUAUAAAGAGAUUAGUAUAAUUAACCUGUGUGUACUUCUCCUCUGGGCCAACCUUGUGUCUUCUUUAUCUGCUGACAGUCCUCUCCCCACUGAAUUAUUUUGAAUCAAAUCCCAGAUAGUCUAUCAUUGUAUUGUAUUUUUGAAUAUUUCUCUAAAAGAUAAUAAUUCCAUCAAUGAGACUGGGUGCAGUGGCUCCUCCCUGUAAUCCCAGCUCUUUGGGAGGCAGAGGUUGGAGGAUCACUUUAGGCCAGGAGUUCAAGACCACCCUGAGCAACAUAGCAAGACCCCAUUUAUAAAAAAGAAGAUUCCCAUCAACGUAACCACAAUACCAUUAUCACACCUAAAUAAUCCAUUAAUAGCAUCGGUUUAUCCAGGCAAUAUUUAAAUAUCUUCAAUUGUCUAAAAACUUUUUGUUUAGUUGGUCGGUUUGAAUUAGAAUGCUAAUAAGGGUUACGUAUUGUGUUUGGUUGAUAUGGGCUAUUAUAUCUCUUUUAGAUUUCCUCAAUCCUCUUUUUUUGUUUCCCUUGCAUUUUUUAUGGGAGAAACUGAACGGUUUGUUCUGAAGAAGUUGACAUUCUGGACUUUGUAGCUGCAGGUACAUGGGCUUCUACAAUUUCGUCUAUUUCAUCCUGCAGUUAUUUUCACGGGUCUCUGUGUCCACCACUAUCUGGAAUCUCUGAGAUGGUGAAAACGAAAUCUUAUUCUUCUUUAUAUUUCAAACAAUUCCUAGCACAUUAUCAAAAAUACCUGAUAAAAUUUAUUGUGUCUGUAAUACUGGUAAGCAUGUAAAAUGGUGGUAAAUAUAUAGGCUUUAAGUUUAGAUAGUUCUAAAUAUUAUUAAAAUUACCAAAUUAUUGUUUUUAAAAAGUAUUAGUUUCCUAGGACAAAUAGAGAUUUUUAGAUAAGGCUGGAUUUGUAAUACUUUAAGCAACAGGUCACAGUGCUUAAGUAUUUAAUGCCGAUUUGGCAAGCAGCUGAUGUUUUAUAUAAUGCUGUCGGGUAUUUUAUAUUUGCGUGUAUUUUCUGAUGCACUGGAUCCAGCACUUCAUGUCACGUCAUAUAUCUGUUUAUAAUGUAUACAAAUGUAUUUUCAUAUAUAUUUGAUGUUUGAUGGCUUUGAAACUUUAAUCUUGAAAUAGGUUUUAAAUUUUUAUUAAAACUAUUUAAAUAAUUACUGUAAGGAAAGAGCUCUUAUUAGUUGAAAGAAAAUGUAGAUUCAUGUUUCCUUGGAGACUAGUCUAGUUUCCAAGGAUAGACGGCAGUGAGGAGUCGGGUAUCUAGAUGGAAUUUCUGUUGGUUUGGAUUCCAGCUCUGCUGCUUACCAGCUUUGUGACCUCAGGCAAACAACUUAACCUCUCCAAGCCUCAAUUUCCCCAUCUAUAUAAUGGUGAUAUUUAUAAGUUUCACCUUAUAGGGCCACGGUGGGGAUUCCAUGAAAUAGUGUAUGUGAAGUGCUUAGCACAGUGCCUGGCACAUACUCAAUGCUCUAUGCAUGUCAGCUAGUACUUAAUGAUGCUAAUAAACAUGUUAUGUCCCUAAGCACGGGUGGGAUCUUGCCUGACGUCCUUCUCUCUGCGUCCUGGUCAGUCUUCACAUGGUGGGCAUCCUUUAUUUCCGGUCACACACGGGUGGUACACAGAGCAUGCUGUUUCUUUCGUGCCAGAAGGUUCCCGCUGCAGCUCUCCUGCUAGUUUAGCUUAGCCUUCUGGUUUGAGGGAUGAGUCACAUGUACCAUCACUUCCCAGGACCAACAGGACCUUUCAGGAAAGCUAUCCCCUGCUUACACAGAGAAUUGCCCUUGCCUAACACUGAAGCCUGGCAGAGUAACAUGAAAUAACCACAGCAAUUCUAAAAUUAGAAUUAGCACGCCUAGAAUAACAGGCGCUGUUGUAGGAGCAAGGUAUACAAUGAUGAUCAAGGCAGAUGCAGCCCUUACCUUCAGGUCGUGGAGUCCGGAUACAGACUGGAGGCAGAGGCAGCUGUAAGAUGUGUGACAAAUGCUGCGCUGGAUCAGCCCAUGGUAUUAGGAGAGCAGCCUCCCAAAGUGCUGGGAUUGCAGGUGCGAGCCACCGGGUCCAGCCUCUCAGGCGAUUUUCAUACCUGCAUACUCUGAUCACUACGCUGUUAAACAGUCAAGGAGGGUAAGUAUUAUCUUCAGAUUUCCAGAGCUCUGUCUCUGUACAGCCCUCUCCUCCUCAAUAUUCUGCCCUAUGAAUUCUAGCCACAUUGGCCUUCCCAGACUCACAGUUCUGUCUUCUCAACUCAGGAAGAUCUCUGAGCUCCAUCUGCAUUCUUUCUUCCUGUGCUGUGGCUUGGAAAGUUUUCUAAGGUGUUUGGGAGGUCAAUUGUGGGGCUAGCCUCAUUUGUUUCUCAUCUCUUGAGGAUCACUGCCCUUUGAUGCUUGAUUCCAGUGAUUGAUUCCCUUUGUUGCUUGAGGGCCAUAGUUUCAUAUAUUUUGUCCAGUAUUUUUGUUGUUUUAGGUCAGAAAGUAAUUUUGGUCUCUGUUACUCCAUCUUGGCCAGAAGUGUAAGACCUAAGCAUUUACACAUCAAAAUACUGCACACAUAAUUUUAGUUUAAGCUACUUUUAAAAAAAUCUGCUUCAUUUUCCAUUAAGCAUUCUAUUUAGGGUAUUACAUUGUUUUUUUUGAAAUUCUGUUAUUGGCAGUUUCUAUUGCCUAUCAAUCCCAUUUAAAGAUAGUGCAUAGGGUAUUCUAAAAUAGCUGUUAAGCAAAGAGAAAAUUGGGCCUGAUAGGGUGAGAAUCACAGCUCUAAUACCUAGAGUGACCUUAUAAUGUAUUGUCCAAAGGAGAUAUUUUUGACAGUGAAAGAGGGUGUUGUUAGUAAUUAUAUCAGGACCAUGGCCUAAACCAGGACUAUCCCAGGCAGCCUGGGACAUAUUUGUACCCCAUCUCUAUUUAAUGCCUUUAUACAAUUCUUAAUUCUACCAGCCUUUAUUGAGCCUGCUUUCUUUGUCUAGCUGAGUGCCACGUGCUGACAUCACUAAGAUCAAUACAGCAAACUCUGAAAGAUGGACGGAGAGACAGGAGAUGGUCCUUUAUAAUGCAGUGUGAUCUGUGCUGCAAUAGAGUUUUGGAAGCUAGAAGUUCAAAACGAGGUGUUGGCAGCACCAUGCUCUCUCUGAAGAUGCUAGGAAGAAUCUGCUCCAUGCCUUUCCAUUCGCUUCUGGGGUUUCCUGCAAGCCCUGACAUUCCUUGGCUUGUAGAUACACCACCCCAGUUUCCGCCCCCAUCAUCACAUGGCCUCCUCUCUGUGUGUGCCUCUGCGUUCCCUCUAUUCUUCUUCUAAGGACACCGACACCAGUCAUAGUGGAUUAAGGGUCCACUCCUAACCAAUUACAUCUGCAACAACCCUAUUUCCAAAUAAAGUCACAUUCUAAGA